UUUUUUUGUCUUAUUAAUGUCAAGAGAGAGAGAGAUAAAGGUAUGGAAGCUUAUUUCCACUACGUAUGAGAAAAUGUUAUGCAGAAUGAUCUCACAAUUACCUUCUUUUUAUCUCACAUCCUGUUAACACACUCUCCAGGAGUGGCCCAGCCCCGCUGAAAAGAAUACUUCACUUAGGUUAUAUUGCCUCGCAACACAUUGCUAGGUUUUUGUUGUGGAUUGAUUAUGGGAAACGGAAGCACAGAGUCACAACUGUUAAAUAUUAACUCGCAGGUGAAACGUACAGUCGCAAUUGUGUGAAAAUAACGAGAUUUUUAGAGCUGCUAUAACAUAAAACGGGAACCAACUUGAUUCUUGGAUGUUCCACAACAUUCAACAUAUUAAUAAAUGAGUAAAAAUCACAUAUUCUUUAAUGAAUUAAUAUCCCACUUCAUCUCAGGCCACAUCACACCACCCCACCAUUGAAUACUUUCCUAUAACAUGCUCCCAAAGUGCUUUAUUCCUUAAACAAAACCAUAUGUCCUUCUUCUAAUGAACUCACUCAAACAUUUUAAAAAGAAGUCAAACAUCAGAUAUCCACGAAGACUGUGGAAGCAAAUUGUAGUAGUAUCUGUGGUACCUGCUCCUCUUUCAAUGUUCAUAAGGUGUAGUCUGCUCUAGUUUUAGCUGUUCAUGUAUUGUUCUUGUUUAUUGAUAUGAUGUUUGGUUAUGCUAACUGUACCCCCCCCCCCCUCUAGUUGACUUAAUUUAACCAAUGUUACUUCAUUAAUUUUGUGACUUACAUACUGAUAUCUUUCUAGUUCUAGGUUCAAGUUUGCAGUAACUGUCUAAAAUAUGAUUUAGUAUAACCUAAUUAUGACAUGAAAUCCAUGUAAUUGCUUCAGAAUUGAAGUAUAAACACUGAAAUGCUUAUUUUACCAGCCUAAUGGCUUCACCUAACUGCAAAAUCUAUCACUGGCAAACAUGGCUGCGCUUCCACAGCACAGAACAGUGUAAACUUUAAAAAAAAAUUUUUUGUGACUAACCUCAUUAACACACCAUUCAUUUGAAAUUGAAGGUAACAUUUUAUUUAAAAAAAUAAUAAUAAUGUAACAUUACAGUUUCUGCAUAAACCGUGAUCAAAGUUGAACUUCAAACUUCUGCAGUGUUCAGAAAUAACUAGCAGUUAAGCCUUACGUACCAGAUGAGGUAGACGCUUCCCCUCUUCAGGAAAAUAAUUAAGCAGAAAUAUUUAACAUUAGCAAUGGAGUGUGGUUAAUUUUCUUAGUUAAAGCAGUUUUGUAUAUGAAAGUUCUACAAAAAUAAAGACUUUGUUAUUUAAAAAAGUAGUAUAUAUAUAUAUAUAUAUAUAUAUAUAUAUAUAUAUAUAUAUAAAAUACAUAUUUAAAUGGAUAUAAAAAAAAAGUUUUCAAUUUAAACAAAAGGGAUGUGGCUGUACACUACUAGUCAAACGUUUUGGAAAAACUAGGGCUUCUUAUGAUUACAUUACAUCCAUAUCACAGCACUGUUGAACUCUUGAUUCUGACUGGGUCAAGUUCUCCGACACAGGAAUGUCGGAAAAAUGAAGGACAUUGUACUUUGUCAGUAACAUGACACGUUUCAUUGUCUUAUUAACUUCAAGAGAGAGGACAAAAAGAGAUCCUGGUGAGAGAACUGGUUAUAGCUGUUACAAUUUAAACGAUACCAGGAACAAGCUAGUUGCAUGGAUGUUUCACCCCAUUAAAUGCAACUAUAAAUGGAUAAAAAUGAUGUGGAAAUUCACUAACAAAAAUAUACAUGAUUUGGAUUACAAAAAUAUGCAUUUUCGAAACUUUGACGGUUAAAGUAAAUGGUUCUGUUACGAUAGCCGUGAAAACCGUGCUCCAUAGUUAGGGAUAAAAACAACUUACAUUUUGUAAUAAGCGAAAAACCCCAAAACAAAACAAAACAAGCACCCUAACAUUUUGAAGUGAAAUAAAUAAAUAAAUAAAUAAAUCAAUCACAGAUGGUCUCUCUUUCUCUUCUUUUUGAGUUUUGCACUGUCGGUCCAUGAACACCAAUUUGACUUGCCAGAGACAGCGACUUUUUCAGCUCCGAGUGUGGCAUCUAGAUCAUUAUCUGGGUCUCUUACUUGCUUCUUUUUCUUAAUAUGUACUAAUAAUGCACCCCCUGAGGAUGAAAUACUGUCCUUUUUAGCAUGGCAUGUGUCUAAAGCAUCUCUUGAUUCUUCUGCAGCAAAUAGCUUAGGUACAACAUCUAAAAUCUGAUUCCCACCUCUAUCAACUGUGUCCUUUCUAUUCUUUUUCUUCUUCUCCUUCUCAAUUAUUGCUUCUGAAGGUUCUGAUGGAGAACCACUCUCCUGCCACAAUUCAUGUUCAACAAUCUCAGGAUACACUUCUAUGUCUGUUUCUACCCAUUGCUGCUUCUUCUUCUUCUUCUUCUUUUUCCUUCCAUUAGGCUGUAUGGUAUCCUCUGACUGCAGUACUUGUUGGCUACUUUCAGAACGGUCAUCUUUGGUCCUCUCACAUUUGUUUGUCUCAUUGGUGUCAUUUUGUCCACUACUUGAAGCUUCUUUCACUACUCUUGUCUGUUUAGUAUUUUGCCAAUGGGAGUCAUCCAGAUGCAACAAGCCGUGAGAAACCGACCACGAUCCAUCAUUUUCCAACUCUUUCCUUUUCCUCUUCUUUUUCUUCUUCUUCACUGGUUCUGAUCCACCAACACCUUCCUCCUCACCAAUCCCUCCAGUCUCACUUCUGGUGCUUGGGGUAUUGGAUGUUGUCAUCUCUAUGAGAUCAAGUCUGAGAGACACGGAUGCAUUUUUAGACGUCUCCUCUUCUUGAUGCGUUUUAAUUCUGCCCUUUUUCUUCUUUGGCUUUCUCACCAGAACCACCUCAGCUGCUUGCUGCUCAGAAUCUUGAGUAUUUGGAGCCUCCACUUGUUCUGUCGUCUCUACCAACAAUGCCUCAACGUCCAUAUUUUCUUCCCUGACCACCUUUUGCCGUUUCCUUUUUUUCCUCUUCUUCCUUUGAGUUAUAGAGUGAUCUGUCAAAUCUAUGCUAUUCACUGGUUGGAUUUCUAUGCCUGCUGGUAUUUCGGGGAUUUUCUCCAACGGUUCUCCAAUAUUCUUACUGGCCGUAGCCAUCUCUCCUACUUGUCCUUCUCCAACAUCAUCUAUAAACAUUUUCUUCUUUUUCUUGACAGUUUUGAUACCAUGGCUUGAAUAAGAUUCUUCACUACACUGCCAAGCCACGAUCUCAGUUAUCACAGGACUUGAAUCCUGUUUCGUCUUCGCCCUUUUCUUUUUCUUUUUCCUUUGUGGUUCAAGACAAUCAGACUGAACAAAAUUAGAAAGAUCAGUUCUGGUCAGCUGCUCAGUUUCCUCAGCUAUAGACACCAAAGAAGCUGAACCUUGACAGGGGAUCUGGAUAGCCUCCUCUACACCAAUCCAUUCAUCUUCCUGAGGCACUGGUUGACCAUGUUUGUCUUUUUUUCUCUUUUUCUUUGGUUUAAUUCCAUUCACUGAAGCACAAACCACUGAAGAGUCCUGAACUGAUAGACCAGAGUCUGCAGCAACACUGAUGUCUGGCAAGGUGUCAACUGGUUCCUCCAACAACCGAUCAUUUUUGUCCUUUUUUCUCUUUGGUUUACUUCCACUAACUGAAGCACAAACCACUGAAGAGUCCUGAACUGACAGACUCGAGUCUGCAGCAACACUGAUGUCUGGCAAGGUGUCAACUGGUUCCUCCAACAACCGAUCAUUUUUGUCCUUUUUUCUCUUUUUCUUUGCUUUACUUCCACUAACUGAAGCACAAACCACUGAAGAGUCCUGAACUGAUAGACCAGAGUCUGCAGCAACACUGAUGUCUGGCAAGGUGUCAACUGGUUCCUCCAACAACCGAUCAUUUUUGUCCUUUUUUCUCUUUUUCUUUGCUUUACUUCCACUAAUUGAAGCACAAACCACUGAAGAGUCCUGAACUGAUAGACUCGAGUCUGCAGCAACACUGAUGUCUGGCAAGGUGUCAACUGGUUCCUCCAACAACCAAUCAUUUUUGCCCUUUUUUCUCUUUGGUUUACUUCCACUAACUGAAGCACAAACCACUGAAGAGUCCUGAACUGACAGACUCGAGUCUGCAGCAACACUGAUGUCUGGCAAGGUGUCAACUGGUUCCUCCAACAACCGAUCAUUUUUGUCCUUUUUACUCUUUGGUUUACUUCCACUAACUGAAGCACAAACCACUGAAGAGUCCUGAAGUGACAGACUCGAGUCUGCAGCAACACUGAUGUCUGGCAAGGUGUCAACUGGUUCCUCCAACAACCGAUCAUUUUUGUCCUUUUUUCUCUUUGGUUUACUUCCACUAACUGAAGCACAAACCACUGAAGAGUCCUGAACUGAUAGACCAGAGUCUGCAGCAACACUGAUGUCUGGCAAGGUGUCAACUGGUUCCUCCAACAACCGAUAAUUUUUGUCCUUUUUUCUCUUUUUCUUUUCUUUACUUCCACUAACUGAAGCACAAACCACUGAAGAGUCCUGAACUGAUAGACCAGAGUCUGCAGCAACACUGAUGUCUGGCAAGGUGUCAACUGGUUCCUCCAACAACCAAUCAUUUGUGCCCUUUUUUCUCUUUGGUUUACUUUCACUAACUGAAGCACAAACCACUGAAGAGUCCUGAACUAAUAGACCUGAGUCUGCAGCAAUACUGAUGUCUGGCAAGGUAUAAACUGUUUCCUCCAACAACCGAUCAUUUUUGACCUUUCUUCUUUUUUUACGCUUGACGUCAUCAAAGUGAAGUGCAGAAUAUUCAUUCUGACCCAAAUCAGCUUGUCUUGGUGCCAGGUUAUCUGAGAUCUCAGGGUCUUUAGUCUUUUUAUUUUUCUUCCUCUUCAGAAAUUUCAAUCCACCAAAAUUGAACAGUGGGGUCUCGGUCUUCUCUUCCUGUCUGACCAUGAGGAUAUCCUUACUACAACUUGAGUAAUCAUUUCCUAUGGAUCCUGAUUCGUAAUCCUCUAAUGGCAGUGAUGAAUGAUGGUGUGGAUCUUGCAUAUCCAAUGUCGUCUUGUCCUUUUCCUUUCUUACCUGGCAUAUAUCUCCAGCUGUUGGUGAGACUAUUUCACUCGGGUGAGUCCUCAGAGAUUUGGAAUAUUUAAGAAAGUCACCCUCCAUAUCUUCCAAGAUUAAUGAACCCUUUUUCUUUAUUAUCAAACCUAUGUCAUCAUGUGGUACUACAAUGCUUUCUAAGACUUCCUUAUCAUUUUCAACACUAGUCUCUUUUAAAGGACUUGAUUGAUUAUUUGGUUCUUGAAAAAGAUCCUGUGAGCUGAUGAAACCUCCACUAACACUACCAAAGUCUUCGUUUUCCAGUGGCUCGUGAUGUACGCUUUGAUGGAUAUCCUGGACUUGUACUUGGUGUUCACAGGAUGAGAUGUUCUCAAAGCAGAGUGCAUCUUCCUUUCCUUCUUUGUCCGUAGGGUUGUCCUGCAAAAUCUGGGUUUCGUUUCCAAGUGGCUCAUGAUGUACGCCUUGAUGGAUAUCCUGGACUUGUACUUGGUGUUCACAGGAUGAGAUGUUCUCCAAGCAGGGUGCAUCUUCCUUUCCUUCUUUGUCCGUAGGAUUGUCCUGCAAAAUCUGGGUUUCGUUUCCAAGUGGCUCAUGAUGUACGCCUUGAUGGAUAUCCUGGACUUGUACUUGGUGUUCACAGGAUGAGAUGUUCUCCAAGCAGGGUGCAUCUUCCCUUCCUUCUCUGUCCAUAGGGUUGUCCUGCAAAAUCUGGGUUUCGUCUUCAUCCUGGUCUACCAAAUUUGGCCGCUGCGUCUCCUCGUCUGACGUUUCAUCAAUUGGUUCCAUCCAGUUCCAUUCGGCAGAUUUCCUGCUUUUCUCACCGUUCUCCGUGGACCGAGACACUUCUAUAUUAAGUGAGCUGCUCUCAUUAUAUACAUCUGCAUCAUCUUGAGGCGCCAUCAGGUCUUCAGCAACUUUCCUGGUUUGAGAACACGUCUCCUGCUCCUCUUGACAUUUGUUGCUUUUCUUAGUGCACGUUUCUGGAGCCUGUCUCGUUUUCCAUUUCAGGGAUGGUAGCCAUGUUUGUUGGUUUCUUUUAUGUGUGUUCUCAAUAAAGCAAUCUUUAUCCUAAAACAAAAUCAGACAUAUUGAUUAACAAUAAUAAAAUGUCUGUUUGAUGGCUUGAGAGAAAACUAAAGAAUAACUAGAAAAGAAUGAAACAAUCAAUCAUGACGUUUCUGAAAAGUCAAAUGCUAAAACGACGAUGCAGAAUUACAAAUUUUGACUUCAAAACGGCAUUCAAAUGGAUCCUUGUUACUUGACGAACCUGCCACCCCUGAAGUCACAGAUACAAUGCAGUAAACAGUUUUUUUUUUAAACUUUCAGUCCCUCAAAGAAACCUUGAAAUGGUUCUAAAUGGCAGACAUUUUCACUGUUAAUCUGUUGCUGCUCAAAAAAGUGUUGCACUUACCAUUUAAGUUAUUUGUGAAGUGAUACAUUUGACAAAUUUUUGAACUUUUUCAGUCGAAAAAUUUGGUGUAUCCCUAAAUCACUAAUGCUUAAACUAAUGAGCAUUUGGUAGGAAACGGGGUGGGGCCAGCAAGGGUGUCAGUUAAAACUGCAACUGUCAGUAAUUCCAAAUUCAUAUGUUGAUUGGCUAAUUUGUGGUUUUAUUAGAUUUAUUUGCUCAUUUGCUGUUUUAUUAUUUUUUAAUUAUUAUUCAGGGUUUUUGUCCUAUUCAGUUUUUUGUUGCAUGGCAAAAAGUGAAAACAUCACAACUGUCAAAAUAUAACUGCAAAAUAUACCACUUUUUUAACGUCCUCAUCAUCAUCAUCAUCUUCUGUUUGCAUACUGCUUUCCUUCCGUCUGUAAAUUAAAUCCGAAAAAAGUCAAUAAAAGGACAGACGAAUAAAAUAGAUUAAUAUUGUGUAUUAAUAUGUUCACUCACCUCUUGACUGAAAUGAAAACAGCAAGAGUUUUCUGACAUGGAUUCAAUGUUUAUAACAUUCCUACCACAGCACUACUGUACUCGCAAUUCAGUUUUUUUGCAAGGUGUUGAUUCAUUUCAGCAGCUCCGAUUGUCUUUUCGGCUGCAAUUCCGACGACAGGUUUAUUUUAAUUUGCUCGUUCUAAUACGUUAUGAUAACAAAUGACACCAGGACUUGUAUGCUCGGACGCUCCACAUAAUUGUAACUGUUGAUAAAAUUUCUGUUAGAUGUCGAUUCAUUCAUUUAUUUAUGGAAGGAGUCACCGGUGGCAGCACUCUGUUUUCCACCACAGGAAAGUCUUCAGGACAGAAAAGAUCCUAGUUCCUCAGGAACAUGACAAAAUGAUCAACUUCAAGAAAGGUUGGUGAGGGGACUCAUGGACCUUCAAGAAUGUCAACCCUAACUAUAACUGGUUAAUAAGUACAUAAUUUAUUAGUAUACUGAGUAUAAUGUAAUCUUCGUUAUAGGAAAAUGAUCAACUUCACGGUCCUAACAGUAAGUCCUGCUUACUAAGGCUGCUCCACACCACUACAUUGUAGAUCUUUUUCCUCCAACAGCAUGGCCAAUGUCAAAUUACACGCUUCAACAGAAACAAAUAUAAAACCUACACAAUACUGUAUUCAUGUUUUGUAUAAUACAAUGGUAAACUCACUCAGAAAGCAAUAAAGAUGGACUCAGCUCUCCUCUUCUUUUGUCUCCAUGACCUUUGCUCAGCUUCAAUAUGCAUUUAAAGAACCCACCAACCUCUGAAUUCUGAUAGACGGAAAUAAAAUUAUAAAACGAUUACCUUCACCUUAUAUAGCUGGAACGAAAUGUAAUUUAUCUAAAAUUGAAGAAGAAGAAAAAAAGUUUCCAGACAUUUCCAUUUUCUGAGAAUGCACUUAAAUUGUUGCCAUUCCUUUAACAUUCGGCUGAUAGAUACAGUGCACUCCAUUAAUAUUGGCACCCUUGGUAUAUAUGAGCAAAGACGGCUGUGGUUGUGAUCUUUUGUUAAAAAAAAAAAAAAAAAAAAUUUCACAUAAAAAUACUCUGCUCUCAUGGAUAUCAAACAAUUGCACAAAAUAAGUUUAUCAAAAAAAUAACUUCUAUACAAUAUUUAUUUUUUUUUUAAUUAGAAUAUGUUAUAUACAAAAUAUACAAUGUGCAACAAUUAUUGGCACCACUAUGAGUUCAUGAGAAAAUAUAUUUUAAGUAUAUUCCCAUUGAUAUUUGAAAAAAAAAAAUUGUACAACAAAAUUUUUUUGGAUAAACCCGUGUCGUGUUUGCAAUCGUUUGAUAUCCAUGAGAGCAGAGUAUUUUUGUGAAUUUUUUAAACAAAAGAUCAAAAGUUUCAACAAUAAAGACAAUUUUUCACAGCCUUCUUUGCUCAUAUUUACCAAAGGUGCCAAUAUUAGUGGAGGGCACUCUAUAAGUCUAAAUUAGAUUAAUUAUUAAUUUAAAGUCUUAUUUAUAGAACAAUUUAAAUGAUAAUAGUGUACCAUGGUUUGGGAGGGGGAUGUAAGGCGGUUACAAUAUUCUAAGGUGG
ensembl:lncRNA